rnacentral:rRNA from 1 species
CUACGGGACGCACCAGUAAAGAAUAUUCCGCAAUGGGCGAAAGCCUGACGGAGCGACACCGCGUGGAGGAUGAAGGCCUUAGGGUCGUAAACUCCUUUUCUGGGGGAAGAAGUUCUGACGGUACCCCAGGAAUAAGCAUCGGCAAACUAUGUGCCAGCAGCCGCGGUAAUACAUAGGAGUGCAAGCGUUAUCCGGAAUUACUGGGCGUAAAGGGUUCGUAGGCGGCUUUUUAAGUAAGGGGUGAAAUCUUCGGGCUCAACCCGAAAACUGCUUCUUAAACUAAUAAGCUCGAGGGAGGGAGAGGCUGACGGAAUUCUGCAAGUAGGGGUAAAAUCCGUUGAUCUGCAGAGGAACAUCAAAAGCGAAGGCAGUCAGCUGGACCUCUUCUGACGCUGAGGAACGAAAGCGUGGGUAGCGAACGGGAUUAGAUACCCGGGUAGUC